rnacentral:misc_RNA from 1 species
AACCUAGCACACCUGCGGUGUGUACCUGCGGAAGGAUCAUUACUGAGAGCCCGGUGUAGGUAGUUCUAACCAGCUGCCUACAUCGUGUGCCUUCUUCUACCCUUUGUUUAUGAGUACCUUUUAUUUUUCAUUCCUCGGUGGGGUAACCUGCCGAUGGAAUGCUUCUUAAACUCUUGCAUUAGCAUUUUAAUAUCUGAUAACUUAAUUAAUUAUUACAACUUUCAACAACGGAUCUCAGAU